UGGCGACUGAACGCGUGUUGCGUGUUGAUUGUUGCUCACUGGCAUCAUCGUUUUUGAAAAAGCGAAAUUAAAAAUGGAAAAAGUACAGAGGAAGAAGACAAUGCUUCAUUGUUUCUCUAUAAGACUAUAGGCUACAUCUGAAACUGCCAAGAGUACUGAAACUGUUGCUACUUCACUAUUCACAUGGAAGUUUAUGAACCAAAAGGUGCUCCUGCUACAGCUUUGGCUAUUAGUAGUGGCGAUGUACACUUCUUCAUACGGAUUAGUCAACAAUAACGCAGAACUGAACUCACAACUCAGAUUGUUUUAUUUGUCCAAAAUUAUAACAACAAGUAUUGUGUAUACUGUAAUUAAAUUAUAACACAUUGAUGGUCGGGAGCCGGAGACUGUCAUUAAGGCUGAAAUAAGCUGCUACCAUGAGAGCCACUGUAGAGAUAAAUAAAUGUAUUGUUUUACACAUAGUACAA